rnacentral:rRNA from 1 species
AUUGAACGCUGGCGGAAUGCUUUACACAUGCAAGUCGAGCGGCAGCGCGGGGGCAACCCUGGCGGCGAGCGGCGAACGGGGUGAGUAACAUAUCGGAACGUACCCCGUCGUGGGGGAUAACACAGCGAAAGCUGUGCUAAUACCGCAUACGACCUGAGGGUGAAAGCGGGGGAUCGCAAGACCUCGCGCGAUGGGAGCGGCCGAUAUCGGAUUAGCUUGUUGGUGAGGUAAAGGCUCACCAAGGCGACGAUCCGUAGCUGGUCUGAGAGGACGACCAGCCACACUGGAACUGAGACACGGUCCAGACUCCUACGGGAGGCAGCAGUGGGGAAUUUUGGACAAUGGGGGCAACCCUGAUCCAGCCAUUCCGCGUGAGUGAAGAAGGCCU